rnacentral:rRNA from 1 species
UCGAUACGAGGAAGCAAUUCUCUCUGAAUCUGCGAACGGCUCCGCACACCAUUUGUAAACUAUAGCAAGUACGUCUGUGAUCCUUCGGGAGCGCAGUCAAACGGAUAACCCUGGUAAUUCUGAGGCUAAUACGAGAACGUACAACCUGAUCGACCGGGACCACUGGAAGGUAAGGAGGUGUGUGAUCAAGCACGAGGAAUCUGCUAGGAACAGUCGCACGCCUGGACCGCGAGAAGAACAGCCGGAAGCCUUGUGUUUUCCGUUUGAGCGGCACUUGCUUUGUGCUUCUGACCUAUCAACCGGAUGGCAGCGCAACGGACAUGCUAUGGUUACAACGGGUACAGAGGAUAAGGGUUCGAUCCUGGAGAGUGGGCCUGAGAGAUUGCUCAUACUUCUAAGGAAGGCAGCAGGCGCGUAACGUUCCCCUUGUGCAAUGCAUGAGGGCGUUAGAGGACAUAUGAAUGCUUGCCUUUUAGGUGAGCAAUUCAAAUGGGUUUGUUGUAAACAGGCUCUCGAGUAACAAUUAGAGGACAAGUCUGGUGCCAGCACCCGCGGUAAUUCCAGCUCUAAUAGCAUACGUUAAAGUUGUUGCGGUUAAAACGCUCGUAGUCGGCAUAAGAUCGUCAGAAUCCCGAUCCGCGAACUUGAGUCUGCGCCUUCACUGGCGCGUCAGGCGAGUAGAGAAGGAGGGCGGCGGUCAAGCGUGCUUCCGAUCGUCCUUCGGGUCACAGGGCGCAGUUUCGGCUGCGUUCGGUUGGAGGUGCCAUUUACCAUGAUUAAACUGGGUUGAUCAAGUAAGGUCGUUCGAUCUUGCACAGCACAGCAUGGUAUAAAACUAGCUUGCUUGGUUCGCCUCGGAGGAUCAGGCAGGCAGAAGCGAUAGAGGUGCUCGAGGGUGACCGAAUUGCCGGGCGAGUGGUGAAAUACGUUGACCCUGGCAAGUCGACCAAAGGCGAAAGCAGUCAUCAAGUGCACACUCGUUGAUCAAGAGCGAAAGUUAAGGGUUCGAAGACGAUCAGAUACCGUCGUAGUCUUAACUAUAAAUGAUACUGACCAGGGAUAGGACUCUGUCCAUUCACGACUCCUUCUGGACCUUGGAGAAAUUACAGUCUUUGAGUUCUGGGGGGAGUAUGUCG